AUUGAACGCUGGCGGCAGGCUUAACACAUGCAAGUCGAACGAAGUGGCGAACGGGUGAGUAAUACGUGAGUACCCUGCCCUCCUUUUUGGGAUAAGCCUUGGAAACGGGGUCUAAUACCGAAUAAAGGGGGAUGGGCUCGCGGCCUGUCAGCUUGUUGGUGGGGUGAUGGCCUACCAAGGCGGUGACGGGUAGCCGGCCUGAGAGGGUAACCGGCCACAUUGGGACUGAGAUACGGCCCAGACCCCUACGGGAGGCAGCAGUGGGGGAUAGUGCACAAUGGGCGAAAGCCGGAUGCAGAGAUGCCGCGUGGGGGAUGAAGGUCUUCGGAUUGUAAAGCACUUUAAGUUGGGAGGCGUUACCAACAGAAUAAGCACCGGCUAACUUCGUGCCAGCCGCCGCGGUAAGAC
rnacentral:rRNA from 1 species